GACGGGGCCCGCACAAGCGGUGGAUUAUGUGGAUUAAUUCGAUGCAACGCGAAAACCUUUACCUACCCUUGACAUGCUAGGAACUUGCCAGAGAUGGCUUGGUGCCCGAAAGGGAACCUAGACACAGGUGCUGCAUGGCUGUCGUCAGCUCGUGUCGUGAGAUGUUGGGUUAAGUCCCGCAACGAGCGCAACCCUUGUCAUUAAUUGCCAUCAUUCAGUUGGGCACUUUAAUGAGACUGCCGGUGACAAACCGGAGGAAGGUGGGGAUGACGUCAAGUCCUCAUGGCCCUUAUGGGUAGGGCUUCACACGUCAUACAAUGGUCGGUACAGAGGGUUGCCAAGCCGCGAGGCGGAGCCAAUCCCACAAAGCCGAUCGUAGUCCGGAUUGUUCUCUGCAACUCGAGAGCAUGAAGUCGGAAUCGCUAGUAAUCGCAGGUCAGCAUACUGCGGUGAAUACGUUCCCGGGUCUU
rnacentral:rRNA from 1 species